GGAAGAUGCAGCGUGGAAUACGAGGCUGAUUCUGAAGGGUCUGCUAGGUCAUGCCAAGGAAUUCGGACUUCAUUUUGAGAGCAGUUAGAAGUCAUGGAAGGGAAUGAGGCUGAGAAGAUCAGGGCUGAGUUCAUGGGAGACCGGACUGGCAAGAUUAAAGUAGGGUCAAGGAUGCCAGUCAAGGGCAAGUGCAGCAAUGGGGGUGAGAGAUGACUGUGGCCUGGACCAAGGCUGCAGGAGUGAGUGUGGCAGGGAGGACAGGUUGCAGAGGUGUUCAGGGCCGGGAAGCAGUAGGACUCGGGGUUGGUUAGAUGGGGAGAUGAGGGAAAAGACGGUGGUUAAAGCUGACCAGAUUUGAGGCACUUUUGAGGCCCUCGAGAUAUCAUGGAGUCCAGUGUGUUGUCCUCUGGAGGGACUGACCCUGUGCUAUCCCAGCAUAUCCAGCCUAGAAAAAUAACCUGCAACAAUGGGCAAGAGCAGCAGUGGAGGCGAGAGAUGACCGUGGCCUGCACCAAGGCUGCAGGAGUGAGUGUGGCAGGAAGGAGGGGCUCUGCAAAAACUGAAUAGGCAGCUUUAACUUUCUACAGAGUGCAAGUAUGUGGUCAUUCUCUGUAAGUCUUGAUAGCAGGUUCCAAAGAAAUAACUUUGAAUUUAAUAGAACUUCAAUGAAACAUCUGGGAAAACCCUCCAAAUAUCUUUAGGUGAUUAUAGUCUGGCUUUGGCUGAGCCCUAGGUGUGACUGACUAGCUAGGAUCUGGUUGAUUCUCUUGAUUGGUAAAGACUCAUGUGAGAGUUUUUAAUUCUUUGACAUGAGAACCAAAGCUCAGUAUCUUGUUUUUUUGAGCACAAAUUUAAGAGCUUCUCUCAAGGCUGGUCCCUGUGAGGAUGAUGUUGGGGUUUGAGGUGCAGCCUGGAGACUCGUGAGCAAUGGAGACUCGUGAGCAAUGUGGGCCCCACGUCCCAGGGUUGAGUGGCUUCUGUGGCCUUUGGAUAGUUGUCAUGAACAAUUGUCAAGAAGUUUAUCUUCCUUAGCAUAUGAAAGAUAAAGCAAGCUUUCCUCGAUUGCCAUCACAGCACAAGGCCGGAUUCUGGAGGGCUCAGGGCAACAAUGUAGAAUUGAGGAGAUGCCGAAAAGCAUAAGAAGAAUACAUUAUCGCUUCUGUCCCACACCUGGAGAUAACCAUGGUUAACAUUUUGGUUUCUAUUUUUCUAAUCUUUUUCCUGUGGAGUUAUGAUGUGUUAUAUACACAUACUUUUAUUUUUACACAAAAUCAGGAUUAUAAUUUACAUGCUAUCUUGUUACCUCCCUGUAGCUACAAUUUCUCAUGGUUUUAAAAGGAAUAAAGAGAAGGAAAAGAGCUUGUGAAAAUCCUCAAGUUGUAUUUGAAUGAAGAAGCUGUUUUGUUCUCAUUAAGAUUUAUCUGUUGUUUGAUUGUUCAUGAUGCCCAGUUACCUCAAGCCGCUUCCAGAUGAUGUUAAAUGAAAAUAUAACAGAAAGAAGAAAACUCUCCAUAAACACAACGCCUGUGGUCAAACGUCAUACCCUUGUGCCCUGAGGGACCGGAGAAUACUUUCCUGUCUCUGCCUUUCUCGCCAAAGCAAAACUUAGAAGCUUUCGUAAUUAGACAGUGAGACUGAAUAACCAUGAGUGUGGAUAAUAUGUAGUAUUGCGAGACGUAUUGGGCAAAAGUACACUUACUGUCGUCACCUAAACUGAUUAAAGGCUCGUUCAGUUCAAUUUUCUUGAAUCUAAUUAAUAUGUUUUUGUCAUUUAUUAUUAUAGUGCACACAUAUUAUCUGUAUUUGAUUUCACUUGGCUAAAAUUAAAUGAGCAGAUGUUGCCUGUUGUGUCCAUUGUCCCCUUCUCUCUGUCAUUGUUAAAAAGAGUAAGCGCAGCUUUUCACACCCCCCCUUCCCGUCUUCUCCACUGGACGCUCUUCAUCCAGCCUCUCUCCAUCCCUCUUAGCUCCAAAGGGUCUGCAAAUAAAGUGGGUACGAGCUGAUGCAAUAGGAUUUGCCUCAGUAAAUAAUGUUUUUGUUACCUUAGUUUUACGUCUUUUAAGAAAAAUUUUAAGUAUCUGUAAAAACACUUAAUGAAACCUGGUGGUCCAUAUGACCAAGACCUUUGCAAGCAUCUCCACUAGCCCACACUCCUCCAGAUUUCUUGCACAGACUAGGAUAUGAAAUUAAAUAAAGCACAUGAUAA
ensembl:lncRNA